AGUUGACCCCCACUUCAAAAACUUUUUUCAGGAAAAAAACCUUGGCUUAUACACGAGUAUAUAUGGUAAUUGGAUCGGAGGACCAGCUUGGGAUUAGAACGGGUAUAAAACUGCUUCCUGUAAACUGAGAUUUUCAAGAUAGUGUUAUGUAUUAGUAUGUUAAUGUCUAAGUAUUGGACUUGCUGCAGGCUAACUUGUUCUCUUCUAAGGGUGGUGCUGUAGUGCUCCAAGGUCAAGGCCGCUUGAAAUUCAUCAAGGCUGUUGGCAGUUGUCCACACUGUUAAGAAUAGUCCACAUACCUAAUAAACUUGACUAGAUGGAGGUGGAAGUUUGGUAUUACUGCAUUUUCUAUCUCCCGUAAGAUUAGCUCCGCUAAGGGUGCCGUCAAGGGGCUACCAAUUGGAAUGCUUCUUGUUUGCUGAUAAUAUCUGCCUCUAUAGGUAUAAAAGGACUUGGAACAGAGCAAAUGAGCAAUGUCUGUGAGGAGUUGGGCUCUUCCUUGGAUAUACGGAAGAUUCUCCAUCACGAAUCUGUAAAGGGUCAGACAGACUGGUUCAAGCUUUAGUGAUGGGUAUAAAUUAUCAUAAUCAAAGAUCACCAUAAGAUAUUCAGGCUUUGUCUAUUCAGAACUUCGUCUGUAGUAUUGAUGGAAUUCUCAUUCUGGCCCAAGCAAACCUACAGUGAUGAUGUUCAAAUAGAUUGGAGUGGUGCCCAAAUCUUAAGACCGAUUGUUGGGCCAACCCGGGCCUUUGCUCGGGAGACUGUUGAAAUCUUGAUGAGGAGGCGGAGACAAGAUCUAAUAAACAACAGACCUACUUCUGAGUUGCCCCCAGCAUGGACAUGUUUAUGGGAACAGUCUGGGAAGAUCUAG
rnacentral:lncRNA from 1 species